rnacentral:lncRNA from 1 species
GCAUUUGACCGCUCCUCCCUCCGCGUUGGAGGCGGAAUAGUGGGUUUUGCUGCAACCGGUUUAUUUUCCUUCUGUUUUCACCCAUUCUGGCACAAUCUGGCGCCAUCGUCCUUCUUGUGAGGCCAAGCCUGAAAAUGCGAAGCAGAGAGGCAGGACCAAAAUUGAGGCGAAUCCAGGAACCUGCCAAUGGGUCUCCGGCUCUCCGAUGCGGAGAUAAUGGGGAAGCUCUUGGCAUGGUUGGCUGUAGGUAUGUGAUACCGGAGGAGCAGGAGUCAAAUAGGAUACGCCGACUUUUAAUUCAAGGAACCCUUUUCUGAAACACUUUGCCACAAUGAAGGAAAUAAGGAAUUGUACUCUCAGAGAUGUUGAGAAAAGAUACAUGGGUCUUGGAAGAUAAUUACUCAAAAUAUGCAGGGAAGCAGGAUGAAGUUAAAGGAAGUAGAUCGUACAGCCAUGCA